rnacentral:sRNA from 1 species
GCCAGGCCCAGUGGCGCACGCCUGUAAUCCCAGCAGCUCAGGAGGCUGAGGCAGGAGGAUCAAAGAGUUCAAAGCCAGCCUCAGCAAUUUAGCCAGACACUUAGCAACUCAGUGAGACCCUGUCUCUA